rnacentral:rRNA from 1 species
UACGGAGGGAGCUAGCGUUAUUCGGAAUUACUGGGCGUAAAGCGCACGUAGGCGGCUUUGUAAGUUAGAGGUGAAAGCCUGGAGCUCAACCCCCGGAAUUGCCUUUGAGACUGCAUCGCUAGAAUUGUGGAGAGGUAAGUGGAAUUCCGAGUGUAGAGGUGAAAUUCGUAGAUAUUCGGAAGAACACCAGUGGCGAAGGCGACUUACUGGACACAUAUUGACGCUGAGGUGCGAAAGCGUGGGGGAGCAAACAGG